rnacentral:rRNA from 1 species
AUUGAACGCUGGCGGCAGGCCUAACACAUGCAAGUCGAGCGGUAACACAAGGGAGCUUGCUCCUGAGGUGACGAGCGGCGGACGGGUGAGUAAUGCCUAGGUAUCUGCCCAGUCGAGGGGGAUAACAGUUGGAAACGACUGCUAAUACCGCAUACGCCUACGGGGAAAGGAGGGACCUUCGGGCCUUCCGCGAUUGGAUGAACCUAGGUGGGAUUAGCUAGUUGGUGAGGUAAUGGCUCACCAAGGCGACGAUCCCUAGCUGGUCUGAGAGGAUGAUCAGCCACACUGGAACUGAGCACGGUCCAGACUCCUACGGAGCAGCAGUGGGAAUAUUGCACAAUGGGCAAAGCCUGAUGCAGCCAUGCCGCGUGUGUGAAGAAGGCCUUGGGUUGUAAA